GCUGGUGUGACAUAGUGGUUUGAGUGCUGGACUAUGAGUCCAGAAACCAGGGUUCAGUUCCCCACUUGGCCA